UGCCACGCCAAUGGGAGGACACAGGUGGGCGG
rnacentral:piRNA from 1 species